AGUGAACGCUGGCGGUAGGCCUAACACAUGCAAGUCGAACGGCAGCACAGUAAGAGCUUGCUCUUACGGGUGGCGAGUGGCGGACGGGUGAGGAAUACAUCGGAAUCUACUUUUUCGUGGGGGAUAACGUAGGGAAACUUACGCUAAUACCGCAUACGACCUACGGGUGAAAGCAGGGGAUCUUCGGACCUUGCGCGAUUGAAUGAGCCGAUGUCGGAUUAGCUAGUUGGCGGGGUAAAGGCCCACCAAGGCGACGAUCCGUAGCUGGUCUGAGAGGAUGAUCAGCCACACUGGAACUGAGACACGGUCCAGUCUCCUACGGGAGGCAGCAGUGGGGAAUAUUGGACAAUGGGCGAAAGCCUGAUCCAGCCAUACCGCGUGGGUGAAGAAGGCCUUAGGGUUGUAAAGCCCUUUUGUUGGGAAAGAAAAGCAGCAGGUUAAUACCCCGCUGUUCUGACGGUACCCAAAGAAUAAGCACCGGCUAACUUCGUG
rnacentral:rRNA from 1 species